AGUUCCAUAGUGUAGCGGUUAGCACGUCUGCCUUACAUGCAGAACAUCCUGGGUUCGCGCCUCAGUAGAGCCA
rnacentral:tRNA from 1 species